UGCCAGCCGCCGCGGUAAGACGGAGGGUGCAAGCGUUGCUCGGAAUUACUGGGCGUAAAGGGUGCGUAGGCGGCCUUUUAAGUCUGGCGUGAAAGCCCAGGGCUCACCCCUGGAAGUGCGCUAGAAACUAGAAGGCUUGAGUAUCGGAUGGGAGAGUGGAAUUCCUGGUGUAGCGGUGAAAUGCGUAGAUAUCAGGAGGAGUACCGGUGGCGAAGGCGACUCUCUGGACGAUAUUGACGCUGAGGCGCGAAGGCGUGGGUAGCGAACGGGAUUAGAUA
rnacentral:rRNA from 1 species